rnacentral:rRNA from 1 species
GAGUUUGAUCCUGGCUCAGAUUGAACGCUGGCGGCAUGCUUUACACAUGCAAGUCGAACGGCAGCACGGGGCAACCUGGUGGCGAGUGGCGAACGGGUGAGUAAUAUAUCGGAACAUGUCCGGAAGUGGGGGAUAACGUAGCGAAAGUUACGCUAAUACCGCAUAUGCCCUGAGGGGGAAAGGAGGGGAUCGCAAGACCUUUCGCUUUCGGAGUGGCCGAUAUCAGAUUAGCUAGUUGGUGGGGUAAAGGCCUACCAAGGCAACGAUCUGUAGCUGGUCUGAGAGGACGACCAGCCACACUGGGACUGAGACACGGCCCAGACUCCUACGGGAGGCAGCAGUGGGGAAUUUUGGACAAUGGGGGCAACCCUGAUCCAGCCAUGCCGCGUGAGUGAAGAAGGCCUUCGGGUUGUAAAGCUCUUUCAGCCGGAAAGAAAUCGUGCAACCUAAUACGUUGUAUGGAUGACGGUACCGGAAGAAGAAGCACCGGCUAACUACGUGCCAGCAGCCGCGGUAAUACGUAGGGUGCGAGCGUUAAUCGGAAUUACUGGGCGUAAAGCGUGCGCAGGCGGUUUUGUAAGACAGAUGUGAAAUCCCCGGGCUUAACCUGGGAACUGCAUUUGUGACUGCAAGGCUAGAGUACGGCAGAGGGGGGUAGAAUUC